GCACCUUGUAAGGGAGAGCAGGGGCAACCUCUCUGUAAUGCCAAUUUCUAUACAGCUUUGUUAAAUAAAAAUACAGAACAGUAAACUCAAUAUGCAGGCAUGACAACAGUGAAAACUCAAGUGUUAGAUUGGUAUGCACACUUGAUGGUAUCAGUUAGUCCUCAGUGCUACCGCAAGACCUUUCCGGGUCUUCCACCAUCUUCCACUCUGGAUGAAGCUUCCUUGGUGCAGGGUUGCGGGUCGGAGCAGAUCCCAGAGUGUGGUGAAGUCACAACUUCCUCCGGUUCCAAUAG